CUGAUUAUGCAUGGGCUGGAGCUGCCUCCUCUAACCUGUUCUUCUCCGAGCCCGGCAGCCGGCGGUCCUCAGCCGCCCACAGAACAGGAGCCGAAACAACCGUUCCCGAAGGCUACAGCGUUUAUUUUUCUCUUUUGGGGGUUUUGGCGGUUGUUUCAGGGGCUCGCCAACUGGCCCCUUUAAUUAAAAGCUUCAAUAAAAGGCGAUCGCGCCAGGAAUGCACCGGCUCCUCUCCGCGCAGGAUUUGCAUAUUUUUUUAAUGCCCUAAUUUCCUUGAUGUAUGUAAAUGUAGCCGGACGUAGAGGGAGACAGGGAGCUGACGUCAAUGGACGUGACCUCGCAGCUAAACCUUGAACGUGAAGCCGGGAUGGGGGAAAACACGGAGCGGCAGCCGGCGGAGCCCGCUAAUGCGGGCGGCGGCAGCGGCAGCGGCCAAGCCCAAGCCGGAGGAGGCCAAGGGGCCCCGUACCGACCCCGGGGGAGGACGAGCCGCCGUCUUCUUUCACCACCGCCUGGCUUCCAGCCUCGCCAGCCUUCCGGCCAUACACACAAGCUCUUGUCCUGCGCCUCCGGGCCCCACCAAAUACACGUUCUUUUGCUUCCCUCAGAAAAACAACACACUCAACAACAAACCCAAAUCAACAGAUAACAAACCAAAUCAGAUCCCCAAAUGUUGUAGACUAAUAUUCGGGUAGCUUAUCAGAGAGAAGACUCUGACAAUGGAACAUGGUUUUUUGUUUGCUUUUUUGGCUUCUCUCCACAACAAGAAGAGGGGGAGACCGCGGACAACAGCAAAUCAUUCCUAAAACACGAUAUGCUACACGUGUUUCCAGUAGGGAGAGGUAAAUCGCCCAGCCGACUGGGAGCUUCUCGUUUUGACGCCGAAAGGAGCCUGUUUGUGUACUGCGGCCGCCCUGUGACUCUGGAUCUUGUCUUCUGGCCGGCGCCUUGAUUCCUGCCCAGCUGGAUUUGGGGGGGCAACACUGACUGGCUUAGGGAGGAGAGCAAGUAAGACUACAAAGAAGCCUAAAAUGAAUAGACAAUACAACCAACCAAAGACCGGGGGCAGCAACACGCCAGCAAGACGGCUUCUUCUCCUCCCCAGCCUAGAAGCCCUGUGAAAUCGAGGAUCUUCCCCCCAAAACACACACACACGAGAUACGUGCGAUCAAGCUGCCACCGCUUGGUAAAAAGCUCACGGUGCCUAACCCAAAAGGAUCAGGAGCAGAUCCUUGAAUCAGCUGUCACCUCUUCUAUAGAAUGGGAUGUUUUUUUUUCCUUCCUCCUUAACCUGCGCUGGAAAUUGCCGUUGGCUUUAUACAUCUCUAUAGAGGGAGGCUAAGGAGUCUUGCGUGAGAAUGAAGCAAUUUACAAUGCAAAUAGAGGCCUGUGGAGGGACGGAUGCUGCUGCUCACUCAUAACUGCUUGCUGCACCUUAGUAGCUGGUUUUAUUUUCUGAUAUUAAUAGAUGAAUUGUUGGCUAACGCUGCCGGAGAUUACUUGCUGAAAGGAAAAAAAAAAGUUCGGAAUAAACUUUGAAAGCAACAGAUCUCGUUUGGAUGUUUUAGCUGCACACACAAACAGAAACCAGGUCAUAUUUACAUGCAAGAAGGAAUCUUAUGCACGGCAAGUGUCCUGGAGGACUACUCUUCGGUAUUGCCAGAGAGAUCGGGAUCUGGAAUCUGGCCAGAGGAAGACAGAGGCGUGUGAGGGAAGCGAGUUGUUAUCUUUGGUUAUCUAGCUGUAUGAGUGUAUUGGUCUUCAUAAAGCUAGAUAACCGAAAGUAAAAACUCCUUCAAGAUCGCCGGGGAGCAUGUGAGAAUGAAAGACUACAACCAAGAGACAGUAAAAACCAGAAAGGUCAGGAAUACUUAUUGAAUCUAACUUUGUUUUUGUUUUUGCUUUUGUUCUUUUUCCUUAUGAUUAAAGGUGGGAUUAGAGGAAAUUAAGUGACACACAGAUGCCAAAAUACAAAGGUGCCGGAUACUUUGAGAAGGGUUGUUACAGCUGCAAAGGAGAGUUGUAUAGUGCUAAUAAGUAAAGAUGCAUGUGUAGUUUGUCCUACUUUAAGACAAAAGUUUAUAUGAGGGUGUUUUUUUUUUCCUUAGAAAGCUGUUGUAGAGAUGUCUGGUAUCUAGUUUGAAAAUGAUUUCAUAAUACGUAGACCUAGGCUAUCUCCUUCUGAGGUUCCCCUCCCCUGAAAAAUUGGAAGAUUAUGCUUGAGGACUACAUGUAUUGGGGUUGUAUGUCAAAUUAUAUUAAAUUAGACUAUCAGAAAAGUUUAUAAUGGAAGUUUAAUAAUUUGUAUCUCUGAGGACAUACAGCUAGCAGAAAAACUGAAAAAAAAAAAAAAAGCGAAGGCUGAUUUUUAUUCUUCUAUUCAAAAUACAAGGACAGAUGCUUCUCUGUUCCAAGAGGGUUUCCUUGAGGAAGCUACUGAAGCAGAAAGACAUGAUGGAGACGAGAUCGCCUCCCCUCUUGUCAAAGUGUUAAAAAAAUGUUCUGUCUUACUCUGCGCCUAGCAUUGGAAAUGAAAGUGACAUUUACGCCACAACCCACGUGUGCGCCUCCUCUCUUUUUGUUUAAGGAUGAUCAGGUCUAUCCAGGAAACAGCUCUGGCAUCCCAAACUGAAAUAAUUAGGACGUAUAUAGACCUGACAAAAAUGGAAAGGGGGUGGGGAAUCUGAGGGUCUGUCUUGCCUAAUUGAUUCCGAUAAACGGAAUGCAGGAGAUGUGAACGGCAGGACGCUCCGAUUCCCACGCUCGGGGGCAAGUGGUAAAGCGGCCCGGCAGCCUAUGACAGACAGCCCUGUUGGGGGGUGGGAGUAUGAAAAAAACAUCAAGUGCACACACCAUACUCAUCUCCAUCGCUCAAGAAAGUAGAGGCAUUUCCCACCCACAGCCAUCUGCAACCUCCCAAAUGGUAGCAUCAACUGGUCUGUAGCUGCUGCAUACUGUCUGUUUCUGUUAAUUUUAUAACCGCUGUUUAAUUUGGCCAUAAUUAAGUUCAGCUUUCUUCUUUGGUUAAGAUUUUCAAUAUUUAAGGAAAGCUAGUAGAAAGCAGUUCCAAAAAAGUCCCGUUUCUGCCUGCCCUUCACGUCAAAUUCUCUCUGUACUUUUGGCCUUGUGAACACAUUUUGGCUUUUGUUUUGGGUGGAUUAUAUCUAAAAAAAACAUACUCUAUAAUGGACAUUAUUAUCACUUCAUCAGGCUGUUUACCCCUUAACAUGAUAUAUCUAGGAACUUGGCCUAAUUGUGCUAGUAGACACACACUGGAAGUAAAACUAUAAAAUCAUCAGCCUACAGAAAGUUAAUUACAAUAGUAACAUGAUAAAAGGUUGUUUUGGUAUAGUCCCAGUAAGAUGCAGUCUAUUCAGCCAUUUUUAUUGAAUCUAAAAAUGACUAUACUUAGCAGAAACUUUGGGGCUUUGGAGGUCCCCAUUGCAAUCUUUUCAUAAAAGUUCUUACAUUUUUCCACGUGUCAAAGCAAACAUUUGUAUAGGCAUUAAACGUAAAUACAAACAUUGCAGUAAGAAAAUGCUUAAAACGGCCUGUUAUUUUCCAUGUGGCCUGGAUUACUGACAAUUUCAAAUCCCAAAUCUACAAUUUUUCUUCAAAAACAUUACAUUUUCCUUCGUAGCUUCAGCACCUUCUACGAUUCCAGACUGGAGAACCCUGUAAACCCAUUGUUAGUUUCAGUUAGAAACUCUGAGAGACUUUAUUAACGUAAAUUCUCAUUAUGGCUGCUGAACACGUGCCAAAGUUUUACUCCUGUAGUGACCGUUGAGAAGACCCUUGUUUAUUUACAUUUGAAGCACUGUUUGUGCAAACAACCUUUCAUUGUUAAGUGCCUGUAUUCCUUUCAUUUGCUUCAUGUCCAGGGGUGCUAUUUACCUAGAACCAUUGUCUACUACAAUUAACAUUUACAUUACAAAGUGUGUGGUUUUCUUUCUCAAGGAGGUUCAAUUAAGGCAAUAAGAUGUUUGCUAGGGAAACCUAUUGUUUACUGAAAGCACUCAAUGGAGUCAAAUUACUGAAGCUUUUGCUUACAUCUUGGUCUUUUAUGUAAAUAUGUUAAAUAUAGCAUCUAAGGAAAAUAAACAAUAUUAUAAUUAUGUGUUUGCCAUUGUCAUAUCAAACUUGCUUUGUACCAUACUAAUGUUACAUGACUUAUCGAUCAAUAAAAAUACAUUUCAAUGUUA